rnacentral:rRNA from 1 species
CCUACGGGUGGCAGCAGUGAGGAAUAUUGGUCAAUGGGCGUAAGCCUGAACCAGCCAAGUCGCGUGAGGGAUGAAGGUUCUAUGGAUCGUAAACCUCUUUUAUAAGGGAAUAAAGUGUGGGACGUGUCCUGUUUUGUAUGUACCUUAUGAAUAAGGAUCGGCUAACUCCGUGCCAGCAGCCGCGGUAAUACGGAGGAUCCGAGCGUUAUCCGGAUUUAUUGGGUUUAAAGGGUUCGUAGGUGGCCUUUUAAGUCAGCGGUGAAAGUCUGUGGCUCAACCACAGAAUUGCCGUUGAAACUGGGAGGCUUGAGUAUGUGUGAGGCAGGCGGAAUGCGUGGUGUAGCGGUGAAAUGCUUAGAUAUCACGCAGAACCCCGAUUGCGAAGGCAGCCUGCCGGGCCAUGACUGACGCUGAUGCACGAAAGCGUGGGGAUCGAACAGGAUUAGAUACCCUUGUAGUC